rnacentral:rRNA from 1 species
CGGUAAUACGGAGGGUGCAAGCGUUAUCCGGAUUCACUGGGUUUAAAGGGUGUGUAGGCGGAUAUUUAAGUCAGUGGUGAAAUCUCUGGGCUCAACCCGGAAACUGCCAUUGAUACUAUUUAUCUUGAAUUCUGUUGAGGUGGGCGGAAUACAUCAUGUAGCGGUGAAAUGCUUAGAUAUGAUGUAGAACACCGAUUGCGAAGGCAGCUCACUAAACAGCGAUUGACGCUGAGGCACGAAAGCGUGGGGAUCAAACAGGAUUAGAUACCCUGGUAGUCCACGCCCUAAACGAUGAUUACUCGACAUACGCGAUACACUGUGUGUGUCUGAGCGAAAGCAUUAAGUAAUCCACCUGGGAAGUACGACCGCAAGGUUGAA